rnacentral:rRNA from 1 species
UUAGUGGCGAACGGGUGAGUAACACGUGAGUAACCUGCCCCAGACUCUGGGAUAACUCCGGGAAACCGGGGCUAAUACUGGAUAUCAUUUCUGCCUGCAUGGGUGGUUGUUGAAAGGGUUUCUGGUCUGGGAUGGGCUCGCGGCCUAUCAGCUUGUUGGUGGGGUGAUGGCCUACCAAGGCGAUGACGGGUAGCCGGCCUGAGAGGGUGACCGGCCACACUGGGACUGAGACACGGCCCAGACUCCUACGGGAGGCAGCAGUGGGGAAUAUUGCACAAUGGGCGGAAGCCUGAUGCAGCGACGCCGCGUGAGGGAUGACGGCCUUCGGGUUGUAAACCUCUUUCAGUAGGGAAGAAGCCGCUUGCGGUGACGGUACCUGCAGAAGAAGCGCCGGCUAACUACGUGCCAGCAGCCGCGGUAAUACGUAGGGCGCAAGCGUUGUCCGGAAUUAUUGGGCGUAAAGAGCUCGUAGGCGGUUUGUCGCGUCUGCUGUGAAAUCCCCAGGCUCAACUUGGGGCGUGCAGUGGGUACGGGCAGACUAGAGUGCGGUAGGGGAGACUGGAAUUCCUGGUGUAGCGGUGGAAUGCGCAGAUAUCAGGAGGAACACCGAUGGCGAAGGCAGGUCUCUGGGCCGUUACUGACGCUGAGGAGCGAAAGCAUGGGGAGCGAACAGGAUUAGAUACCCUGGUAGUCCAUGCCGUAAACGUUGGGCACUAGGUGUGGGGUCUGUUUCCACGGAUUCCGCGCCGU